UCUCACUCAGAUAUUGUUAAA
rnacentral:piRNA from 1 species